rfam:Pristionchus pacificus strain PS312 contig11060, whole genome shotgun sequence.
CAUAGUCUUCAUGAGGUUGAACGUUAUAUUGAAAGCGUUGACUUCGUGAGAGGCUAAGG